ensembl:lncRNA
AUGGAAUAACUGCAAUCUGAAACUCUUCUGUCCAAUUUUGCACCCAAUGUCUUUUUCAGACAUGCAGCUUUAUUCUGUGUUUCAGUACACUAACAGCAGCUGAUAAGCUGAUGCCCAGAUAUGCUAACAAGAGCUAAUGCUGAUAAUCUCCCUUUUUACCAUUUCUCAUGAAUUCCCACUCAAAAUUUAGUUAGGUAGAGAGAUGGAGGGCUGGGUGAGGGAGAACAUCCAAUGGUUAUCAUCUCUUAUGUUUUGUCUCAUCUUGGCUAUGGAUGGUUUGGCUUUGUUGAGCUGGAGUGAGGUUUUAUACACCUGUAGUAGACAGAAAUCAUAGAAACAGAGAAUAUCCUGAGUUGGAGGGGGCCCAUGAGGAUCAUCAAGUCCAACUCCUGACUCCACAAACGACCGUCCAAAAAUCAGACCACAUGCCUGAUGGGAUGAAGACAGUCAUUGGCAGACACCUGCUCUUUGCCACUGCUGGAAGGAAGAGACAUGGAUCAAUGGACUUUUAAUUUGACUCGCUACAGCAGUUCUUAAUUUCAUUUGUAUUAUUCAAAUACAUAAGGCCCAAAUUCUGAACAGAGCCCAGACUUUACAGCCAGUCACAAAUGUUGAUCCAUUUGACCCAAUUGAAAUAUACUGUUCUUCAAACCUUCAGGUAUCUGUUUAUGCUGGAGUCAUGAGGUCAGACAAAGGCAGCAGAUAUCUCAGAAAGCUUUACUCUUUCUUUCUCCACUGACCUUUGUCUGAAAAAAACUAGUUUGGCAUAACAAAGAUUGAUAUGUUGCCUACGGAAAUUUGGAUAGAAAUCAGCUUGGCUAAUAUUAGCUGCUCAAGGUUAGGUGUGCAGCCUGAAGUCCUCAUUUAGCCUCCCUCUGUGGCCAGGAAUGAGAGACAGGUUCCUUCACUCUAGGGCACGCCAUUCAUCCUAUCCACUGACUUAUGAAGAGAGCAAGAGUAACUCAGACUAGAUGGUUAUAUGCAGUUCUUCCUCUCUGUUGCUCCUUCAUUUGGUUUCCUUCCUUUAUAGGAAGUUUGCUUACCACCUGCUAUGUGUGCAUAUCUGUGUGUCUUGAGUGGAUUGAAUUAUCCAGUAUUAGCAUCACACACAAAACCCCACUCAUGACAUAAUGAAAUUUUCCCAUGCAAACCUACAGCAAGAGAUCACAGAGCACUCUGCAUGCCUUUGAGCCAUUUUUUUGCAAAUGGUUACAGGAUGAUCAAUUAGUUUAUUUCACCAAAAGGAGUGCAGAAGAUAUGUAUCCCAUAGUGCUAAUUCUUUUCUAUGAAAAGAGGUGUGUUGUGGGGGUGGAGGGGUGAGUCUGCCAGCUCAGACUUUCUUUCAUUCUUUAGAUGAAGAUGUCAUGUAAAUCUCAAAGUGUCACUCUUUCCAACAAUAUCAUCAAUACAGUCAGAAAAUAGGAUAGUUACUUAUCCUUCAGCACGGUUCAGUUUGCACUGCUUGUCUUUGUCCAGCACAUACUGGCUGAAGUUUGCAUCCUAUGCAACAUCAGGCACAUAGCCCCCGAUUACAAGAUAGUGCAUUGCUUGGUAUGUUGAUGUGCAAAUAGAAGCAGCAGCAUCUCAGGUGUUCACUCUGUUUAUUCCCAAACACAAAAGCACUGACUAGGGUUAAAGGACCUGUCAGAUGAAACAGAGGAAUUCAAUUUGUAACAAAAGAAUGUCUUCAGGCAGUUGUUUAGAAAUAUCACCAAGAUACUACAGAUUCCCUUUAUCCUCUGCUGCAAAUGGCAAAGGAAAUUAACUGGCUAAAGACCCAUUGGUGAGCUGAUUACCUAACCCUCAGUAAGUGAAUAUUGAAGUUGCUGAUGUUGCCAAGCAACUGCCUGGGGUUGGCAGCGGCCAGAGCAUACACGAGCACUCACUUGAAGGAGUAUUUUGCAACAAAGGGCAGCUCGAUUUACCACCAUGCACUACCAUGCACAGUUAGCAGGACAGCCAGGUCUGGCCCUGAGGUGCAAGUAGCUCUAUUUUGGUUGUGAGAGAUAUUUGAGAGCCAUUGGAGGUCAGCUGGAGAGAGAUGGAGUAGCAAUUCUCCAAUCAGCACAGUGAGCUUAAAAGGAAAGAUUUUUGCAUCCAAAUAUGGCCUGAAUUUUAAAGUAUCAUAAAUGCAGGACUGAGUUCAGUAGUUUUUCUUAGUGCUGGUAGAUGAAUGAGAAGAUUUAUCAUGCAUAGGACAGAUCUCUGUCACUGAGUUCAAGUGGCAUGAGAUGGUAUGUGUCCUUACACACACCUCUUAUCCUCCAGAGUUGGGUACUUGCCAGUAGGCAAACUGAACUGGGAAGGACUCCUGACUCCUGACAGCUCAUGAGCCUUGGUCAAGAGCCUUUUGGGAGACUGCUGGGCAGCCUUGGCCAGGAACAGAUAGGGCUGUUCAGGAGUUACGCAACUUAUGCCUAGUGCCCAGGAAUGCUCCCUAGCAUGUAUAUUAGUAUAGAAAUAGCUCCUGAUACCACUUCCUCUGUAUUUCUAGACUAGUUUUGCAUUUGUAGAGUGGUGGAGGCCCAAUUCUGCAUGUGUUCUUCUCAGGUGACCACUAGAUCCCAUUUGGCCUGAAGUUGUCACCAUCUUCAGAUAACUGAUACAACACAGCAAUAUUGUGUUACUCCAGCAUAAAGACUGCGAGGCUAAGCGGAGUCUUCCAAUGCACCCUUGCUCUGAAUGCAAGUCUCGGGUACUUGUGAACCUCUCUCUGGCAAUAAUGAACCAUAUGACAUUGGGAAAGUUAUUUAAUCUCUCUGCUUAGUCUUCUCAUCCCAAAUGGAUGCCUCAUCGGCAUGCUUUCAGGAUUCAUUAUUUAACAGAUAGCACUGCUAUUUAAUCUUUAUGUUAUAGUAGCAUCUGGAGGUCUCAGCUGAGAGGCAAUAUAUAAAUACUAUGUGAAAGACAAUUUCUUCACAAAGACCUGCCAUUGUAAGCAGAAAAGCAGCACUGCAGGCUGAUUUGCUUUAAAUCACGCAGGUGAGUAGUAUCAAAGCAGCAUCUCCCACCUAACUUGUGACUGCUGAAAUAAUAGAAUUGAUACACUCUUUACAUAUAUGAAGAAUAGUAUGUACCAUAGGAUAAUGUGUACUUUAGGAAAUAAGAGUUUUCCUGAGGAUAGACAGAGAUAAAAAUACAGCUUAAAGCCGAUAUAUGUUUGUAAGACAUCAGUGAAUACCUCUUAAAACUGUUUCUUAAAGAGGCCUACUUCAUGAAAAUGUGAUUUGAAGUGAAACCGAUUAUGUAGAUUUCAUAUCAGUUCUGCAUACUGAUGUUCCUCAGUGACGUAGGAUAUAUUACCUUUUCAAGAUAUUUUUCCACUAAAAAUGUAAGAUCUGUUGAAACUGUUUUGUAAGUUGAGGUCUGGUUUUUUUUCUGUGAGGUAUAUAUCAGGAAAUGCUUUAGAAAAAACAAAACCUAAACAAUCAAUACAUUUGACCAAUCAAACAUUUCAAUUUUUCUUUCAAAACACUUUUUAAGAAUGGUUUAAAAAGCUCAGAAUGGUUAUUGAAUUUUGUUUUAAGUUGACUAAAACAUAUGAGGUUACAUGUUUUAUGUUGAACAUAAAAUAUUUUUUUCUUUUCUGAAAAUAAUUUGAGACUGACCAGAAAUAUGCUGCAUUUUGAACUACAGCACUGACCUAAAUGUAUUUUAUAGGAUAUUCUUUUCAAAUUUACUUCUUCAGGCAGACUCUGAGUCCUGCGUUCAUGUUUAUCAUUGAUUGUUAAUGACUGUCUGAAUACUUUAUGAUCUCAAUUCAUAAAUAUGUCGCUAGUAAGGAGAGAAAAUGUCUGGAGUAGGAUGCAUGUUCUUAAAAGUUUUCCCAUGCUGGUCCCAGUCCAAACAAGAUAUUGUCCUUUUUCAUUAUAUUUUAUAUAUCUAAUUAAAUUCUAAUUCACAUAAUCACUGUAGACUGCAUUUCUCCUCCUUUGUUUUGUCAGAUCAAAUCAUGGCUUGUUCCCUGUGCUCAUGAAUGCGGCACCUUCCUAGCAAAACCCUGGUGUUAGAUCCAGAACAGAACAUUGAUCUUGCCCAGAGCCAUCUGAGGUCAAACUGAACCUUUACGUAAUCAGGAAAUUUUGGAUCCAUCUCUGAGAUUUGAACAGCACUGAAGGUGCUCUUCUACCAGCAAAGCUACUCUGUGAGGCAGAAAAAAAACUGUUAUAAAAUUGAAAUUGUAGUCUGAGAACAAACUCUUUUAUUCCUCUGGAUAACAAGUACUUCGAAGUUUAUAAUCUGGCAGUAGUUCAUCUGGCAUGCAGUAUGUUUGGCAGAAGCUUAGAUAUGCCCAUUAGACCUAAAAAAAGCCCUUAUCCAUGUCAUUUUGCUAGCAUGAAAAGGAAUGGUCAUAAAAGUAAGAAUUUGUAACUUUGUUGAGUCUUAGAUGUGGAUUUCUUUUAUUAAUUUGUUAUUUGUUGCCUUAUUAAGGGUACAACAAUUUGCAUUAGCUAAAUGAAGAAAUAAACAAAAAUACAAGCACUUAGCAAUCAUCACAAGACCCAUACCCUCCAGCAAACACAUUUAACGUCAAGAUGUUUCACUGCAGUUUAUGGAACUACUCACAUUUAGAGAAGACAUUUCUUUGGAUAAGUGUUUUGAAGAUGGACGAAGUGUGUAAGCAGUAUCUUUCUCAAAAUGGCAGAACGAGCAAACUGCAAAAGCAACAGGCACAUAUUCCCUUGAGCCUCCAAUUAGUGUACUGUCCUCUGAUAUAUUUGUCUCUCCAAGCUGAUUGUUUUUUAUUUGGAUACAUUAUUACAUCCAUUAAGAGAAAUUAAGAGAAACAUGGAGGAAAAGAAUGAACAUAUUCUUGGAAUUAAAAACCUGAGGAAAGACUGUUGUGAACAAAAAUGCUUCCCUGAUCUGCCACACAGUCUGCUUACUUGAUACUUAAUUCAGUUUUGCUCUGUUUUGUCAGAGCCUCUGUAUGCACGCACAGUAAGAGGAUGAAACAUCAGAUUGAUAGCAAAAUGGGGCACAUAGGCACUGACUUCUGUUUUUCCAGGGCCAUCUUCACAGGCUGUGUUAUCAUUGUGCAGAAUGGUAUUACCACAAGGCUCCCACAAAUGGCUGUUGUUUUGCCAAAGCUCACAUUAUUCAGUGCUGAACAGAGAGAUUUCCAGCAGUGAGUAGAUCAGAUCCAUGUCAAGACUUCUUGGCUUCACGUGUUUGCAGAGCAACACCAGAACAGAGCCUUUCUCCUUGAAGCUCCUGAAGUUCAGGGUCAUCUUUCUUGACUCCUCCAUUUGAUUAACUCAGUGUAGUUUGGGAAAAGAUAUCUCAGAUCAUGGUUUUUCCUUCUUGUUUUCUUGCUGUAAAGCUGCACAGUAAGGCUGGGUUAAAAAGAAAGCAGGUGUGAGCCUGCAUUAUUUAGUUCUAUAAAGUGUUUUCAGGUACAGUUUAUAUCACUGGCUUUGGGUAUGUGAGAAAAUUGUGAAAAAAGACUAAAGGCAUGAUAUCACUGUUUCAGAUGUGUUAGAAUACAGAGUAAAGUCUUCAGAGGUGGCUAAAAAUUAGCCAUCAUCAGUGUUUUUAAUAGUCCUUGGUUUUCUGAUUUUUGUGGAGAAAAGGAUGCCAAAAAGUCAAAUGUCUCCUAUUCUUCAUAUAUUGCCUGGAGGAUUCAAGAACAUAGAAUAUAGACACAUAGGUCUUCAUUCUCCAUUACUUAUAUAAUCUCCAGUAAUUCUUUGUUCCCAAGAGCUCUUACAAUGAGCCACUUCUUGAAAAAGAAACCAUGAUGCAUUAUAGAGGAAGAUCAUAGAAUCAUCAAGGUUGGAAAAGACUACUAAGAUCACCUAGUCCUACCACCAACCCACCCCUACCAUGCUAACUAACCAUGUCCUCAGUGCAACAUUUCCAGUUUCUUAAACAUCCCUAGUGAUGAUGACUCCUCCACCUCAAAGAUGGAAGCAAGUGGCAAAAUGUGAAGUCAUAAAAAUAACAGUCUCAUGAGGAAAACAAUGAUAUUUCCUUAUGAAAUUGUCUGGGUUAUCUGACAAAAUAUUAUGCAGGUUUAGGUCAUUUUAAUGAAGGCAUUUGAAUACCUACUAAUCAUAAAGGCAUUUAAUUUUUGUACUUGAAAAGAACAUUUUAAUGAGUAUGGAUUCGCACAGUUCACUUCUGUAUUAAAACCAGAAAGAUGAUCAAAUCAUCAAGCUCCUGCUGACACAGCUGAACCAAUGCUAACACAGCUGGGAAUUUUUUCCUAAAAUUCCCUGGUGUGAAAAGGCUGGGGAUAUGCUAGCACUAAUAUCUCAGAACUUAACACUCCCAGACUUUUGGGAAAUGCAAUUCAAACGUAAAAUUAGAUCUGUAUGGUGGUUCAGAACUUAGAUAUGCAUUUUUCAGUCCAAACUAAUAUGCAAUUUAAAAUCAUUCUAGAGGAGAUAAAUUUAAAUCUAAC